rnacentral:misc_RNA from 1 species
GAUGAAGAACGUAGCGAAAUGCGAUAAGUAAUGUGAAUUGCAGAAUUCAGUGAAUCAUCGAAUCUUUGAACGCACAUUGCGCCCGCCAGUAUUCUGGCGGGCAUGCCUGUUCGAGCGUCAUUUCAACCAUCAAGCCCCCGGCUUGUGUUGGGGACCUGCGGCUGCCGCAGGCCCUGAAAACCAGUGGCGGGCUCGCUAGUCACUCCGAGCGUAGUAAUACAUCUCGCUCAGGGCGUGCUGCGGGUUCCGGCCGUUAAAAAGCCUUAUUUACCCAAGGUUGACCUCGGAUCAGGUAGGAAGACCCGCUGAACUUAAGCAUAUCAAUAAGCAGGA